rnacentral:rRNA from 1 species
UACCGGAUAGGACCAUGGACUUCACGGUUUGUGGUGGAAAGCUUUGCGGUGUGGGAUGGGCCCGCGGCCUAUCAGCUUGUUGGUGGGGUAAUGGCCUACCAAGGCGACGACGGGUAGCCGGCCUGAGAGGGUGUCCGGCCACACUGGGACUGAGAUACGGCCCAGACUCCUACGGGAGGCAGCAGUGGGGAAUAUUGCACAAUGGGCGCAAGCCUGAUGCAGCGACGCCGCGUGAGGGAUGACGGCCUUCGGGUUGUAAACCUCUUUCAAUAGGGACGAAGCGCAAGUGACGGUACCUAUAGAAGAAGCACCGGCCAACUACGUG